AAGACUGUACAAGUCAGUGAAGAACUAUGUUGAUAUAUAUUUCCAGUACUACCAGCUGGGGAGGAGACCAAUAGAAGCAGCAAGAAUUUGAUUAACCUGAAACUACAAUAUUAUGGAUUACAAUAUAAAUAAAUAUCCGCACAAUUGUUACUUCGCUUGUCUUUGUUCCUUAGAUGUGGGAAAUGUUCUACUGAUGAAAUAUUUACCUGGGACAGAUUAAUGUCCUUGUCUUACAAAUGUACUUACAUCCAAUUCUGGGGUAAUAAAAGCAAUAUGCAGAGAAAUUUCAGAAGUUCUUGAGUAAUUUAAACUUACCCUUUUCUGAUAAACUGACAUGCAAGACAACUGAGUUCUCGUCGUAAAUUCAGAAGCAGAGCUCGCAUGCCCUUGGAAAAGAAGCUACAUGUUAUCAGUCUUUAAGAUGUAAAAUGAGUAUGACAGGGAACAAACCGUUCAUUUGAUUGGAUAAUUAGUACUUUCACCAUUUCCUCCGAAAGUGUGAAUUCAAAUCCUGAGCAGUAAAUGACAAGUCAGAAAAUUCAAGCCCCAAGGUAGUUCUUAAAAUAGCAUAACAAAGACACUCCUACAAAAGUAGAAACUACCAUAAAGUGCAUGCCAAAGUCGAGUUCAAGUAAAUGUCGAAGGAAUCCGAAUAGGGUAUUGAUAUUUCCGGGCAUGGCAGUCAACAAAAUGAUCUUGUCUUUAUAUGCUUGUAGGAAAAGUAAUUUAUAUUUUAUAGCAACUCGACCUUAAAUGGCAGGAUAAUGAUUAAUGCUACUUCAAAUUGCAGAGUGACGCUAAGCUUCUCAUAUUCUUUUUAACAGUUAAUCAUGGGCUGCUGCUUCCAGCAACAACAUGGCUGAACUGAUUAUUCCUCCCAAGGAAGAAUUGAUGUCCAAAAGUGUGCAAGAGCUGCUCGAAACUGACAUAAGAAUUGACAGGACUUUGAAGAAAGGCAGUGAUGGUGGAGUGCUAGAUGUUUUCCAGCCAGAGAUGAGGACUCCACUUUUGAUCUUGGCCUCCUUAAAUCAGCUUCAUCGACUGGCAAGAAGAGCUCGAGAAACUUCAAUCAGUUCUCACCUUAUGGGGUUGCUGUCAGGUCUUAUUUUAAUUUUUAUAGCCCUUCAUGAACAUACUUGUUUCUGCAAUAUCAAAGCAUUAUGUAGUCUAACCAGAAGUGAUUUUAUCAAUUUAUGCCAGUUGAAAUUCAGCAAAAAACUGAAGAUUAUGCAUAAUUUUAAAGUAUGACGAUAGGAAAUUUGAAAAGUGAAAUUUACCUGAUUAUUUUCCAGUAUCACUUCCCGGUAGCAUCAGAUCCCAGAACUGACGGAAUAUUUUGAAAACCCCUUACCCUGAUUAAGCUUUGAUU
rnacentral:lncRNA from 1 species